rnacentral:rRNA from 1 species
AUUGAACGCUGGCGGCAUGCCUUACACAUGCAAGUCGAACGGCAGCACGGGAGUAAUCCUGGUGGCGAGUGGCGAACGGGUGAGUAAUAUAUCGGAACGUGCCCAGUCGGGGGGGAUAACGCAGCGAAAGCUGUGCUAAUACCGCAUACGAUCUAAGGAUGAAAGCGGGGGAUCGCAAGACCUCGCGCGAUUGGAGCGGCCGAUAUCAGAUUAGGUAGUUGGUGGGGUAAGGGCCCACCAAGGCGACGAUCUGUAGCUGGUCGGAGGGGACGAGCAGCCACACUGGGACUGAGACACGGUCCAGACUCCUACGGGAGGCAGCAGUGGGGAAUUUUGGACAAUGGGCGCAAGCCUGAUCCAGCAAUGCCGCGUGCAGGAUGAAGGCCUUCGGGUUGUAAACUGCUUUUGUACGGAACGAAACGGCCCUUUCUAAUACAGGGGGCUAAUGACGGUACCGUAAGAAUAAGCACCGGCUAACUACGUGCCAGCCGCCGCCGUAAGAC